AAAAAAAUACCUGAACUUUGAUCGGAUUUGCAGUUGAGCAUACUGAACUUUGUAGGGGUCCUAUUACCCUCUAAACUUUUUUAAAGUGUAUUUAAUUCCCCCCGAAAUGCAAUACCCAGUUUUGGCGGCUGGCAGUGCAAUACACGUGCUAAUUUCGUUUUGACACGUAUGUUUUUUGACAGACGGCGGUGUAAUACACGCGUCAAGCUCAUAUUUACACGUGUUCAAGUGAGCAGAUAUAUGCCAUUAAAAUAUAAAAAAAAGUCUAGGAGGGUAAUAGGACUUCGCAAAGUUCAGUAUGCUCAACUGCAAAUCCGAUCAAAGUUCAAGUAUUUUUCUGAGUAUUUUUUCUAAAUUACUUGGUUGACUAUCGAAAUUAUAUUAGUGUCAUAAAAAUUACGACUGAACAGAGGAAGACAUAAAGUACAACAACAACAACAACAACAAUAAACCCAGUGUAAUCCCACCAAAUGGAGUCUGGGGAGGGUAAAAUGUAUGCAAUACAUACCGCUACUUCUGAAGAAGUAGAGAGGCUGUUUUCGAUAGACCCCUGG
rnacentral:lncRNA from 1 species